GACGAACGCUGGCGGCGUGCUUAACACAUGCAAGUCGAACGAUGAACCCGGAGCUUGCUCGGGGGGAUUAGUGGCGAACGGGUGAGUAACACGUGAGUAACCUGCCCUGGACUCUGGGAUAAGCGUUGGAAACGACGGCUAAUACCGGAUAGGACCUUGGAUCGCAUGAUCUGGGGUGGAAAGUUUCUUCGGUCUGGGAUGGACUCGCGGCCUAUCAGCUUGUUGGUGAGGUAGUGGCUCACCAAGGCGUCGACGGGUAGCCGGCCUGAGAGGGUGACCGGCCACACUGGGACUGAGACACGGCCCAGACUCCUACGGGAGGCAGCAGUGGGGAAUAUUGCACAAUGGGCGAAAGCCUGAUGCAGCAACGCCGCGUGCGGGAUGACGGCCUUCGGGUUGUAAACCGCUUUUAGUAGGGAAGAAGGGCUUCGGCUUGACGGUACCUGCAGAAAAAGGACCGGCUAACUACGUG
rnacentral:rRNA from 1 species